rnacentral:RNase_P_RNA from 1 species
GGUAAAUUACGAGUAAUCGCGGUCUAGUUAUCUAGGCUGAGGAAGGUCCACGCCCGCGCGAACUGAGAUGUUUGCAGUGUUUGUGCUUGGCCCAAUAAGCCAAGGUACCUUCGGGUAACGGCAGCGAAAGCACUAAGGUCAGUGAGACUAUGUGUUAAUAGCUUGAAAGUGCCACAGAGACGUAUUACUGUGAGAAAUUGCAGUGGUGGAACGAGGUAAACCCCGCAAGCGGGCAACCCAAACUUUGGUAGGGGCGCUUCAUAACGAGAAAUGAAUCUACUGUGAAGGCUUAAUUGUAGAUAGAUGAUUACUAACUGUGUUAGGUUUGCCAACCUAAUACAUGAACAGAACGUGGCCUAUAGGAGUUUAUCGAGG